GUGUCAGCCGCCGCGGUAAUACAGAGGUCUCAAGCGUUGUUCGGAAUUACUGGGCGUAAAGGGUGCGCAGGCCGCGCGGGCAGUCAAAUGUGUAAUUCAGGGGCUCAACCCCUGCACUGCGCUUGAUACUUCCGCGCUCGAACCUUGGAGAGGAGUCUGGAAUUCUCGGUGUAGCAGUGAAAUGCGUGGAUAUCGAGAAGAACACUUAGGGCGAAAGCAAGACUCUGGACAAGUGUUGACGCUCAUGCACGAAGGCUAGGGUAGCGAACGGGAUUAGAUACCCGCGUAGUCC
rnacentral:rRNA from 1 species